rnacentral:rRNA from 1 species
AUCGUACAAUGAUCAAAUAUUUAUAGGAUAGGGAUGGGCAUGCGCGUCAUUAGUUAGUUGGCGGGGUAACGGCCACCAAGACCACGAUGACUAGGGGAUCUGAGAGGAUGGCCCCCCACACUGGUACUGAGACACGGACCAGACUCCUACGGGAGGCAGCAGUAAGGAAUAUUGGUCAAUGGAGGCAACUCUGAACCAGCCAUGCCGCGUGCAGGAAGACGGCCCUCUGGGUUGUAAACUGUCUUUUAUUCGGAAUAAGCCUGCUUACGUGUAAGUAGCUGAAUGUACCGAAGGAAUAAGGAUCGGCUAACUCCGUG